UGCAGACGGAUCAACGGUGCUGAUCUUGAUCUUAAGCUGCAACAGCAGCGCCAUCGCGUGAGUGAACCGCAAACAAGAAGAGUUACCAGUUUGCCUACGCUACACGGUAAAUUGACGCUUUCCAGUCUUGUUUAUUUAUAUAGUCUUUGCUCACCAUAUCCUACAGGACCUACCUCACAGUCAGGAACACUAACAUACAACUUAGUGGUGUUUCACAUAUAAUUUUACUUCACCAAGUCACCCUCUGCGGAGUAGAGCUUCCCCAUGAGGUACGCUUUGCCACGUCACAGUCAGUAGUUUGCACCCCGUCGCGAAGGGCAGAUGUUAGUUGUGUUUGAAUUUGGUUUGCUUUUUUUUUUUUUUUUUUUUUUUUUCAGGUAAGGCCACGUCGCCCGUUACGCGGGGACAGUGCCUUCUACCCGUAAUCCAAUCCUUGGAGCGGGUAGAGCCGUUCAAGUGGCUAUAUUUAUUGUGUGGCAGAUGUAGUGAGAUUACGGCUCUUGUACCACAUAGUGAGGGCCAUGUCUUCUGGUGAGGAGUCCGCUGGCCCUUCCUUGGGUUUCCCCCUCGGUUCCAGGACCAGCAGGAACGCCCAUAGAUAGGGGCGGUGGUCUCUCCCGGCCUGGAAGUUUGCGGGAGACUAAAACCACUCGCCGGGCCAUGGCACGCUUGGGCCUGCAGGUGUCAACAAGCUCUCCACUUCGCCACACUUAUUUUCCUCACAGGAUGCCGUCCCUUGGGACGUGGUUUUGACGGCCCUUGCAGAGUUAAGAGAUGAGAUGAACAAGUUGAAAAGGGACAGACUGCUGCCUGCGCGCACGCCGGGCAAGGUGAAUGAGGGAGCAUGUUGUCAAAGUACGCGGCACAUUGGUUCACCUGUUCACAUUUUCGCUGGAUUCCCUGUUCCUGUCUGUGAAGCUGGCGCUCUCACUGAGCAGUACUUUAGUGACAGUAUUUUAUGCAUAAUGCUAAGGUUUUUGGACCUCGGGAUACAGGACAUUGACCAACAGGUAGCAGAAAUGGUGAACUUUGUUAACCGACUGAAUGCGUGAUGAAGAUUACAAGCUUACUUGUGAAGAUGAUAUUACUUAGAGGCCGAGGAAUUGCCACGCCCAAGCUCCAGUGGAUUGCAAUCCAGUGGUUUUGGAUGCGCUUAGAAGUGACGCAAAGAAGACGGAUCACCGUUUACAGGAUGUUAGCAAGGACAAUCUGCAGGCAACAACAAUUGUCACGAAGUCCCAUCUGGCGCUGGAUAAGGUUCCUCUAGACGGAGAUCUGCCAAAAGUAGCUCGAGCUGUGGGUGUGCUUAACGGAGCAUUGGCCUUGUUGGGUAAUGCUAAUUACAAGAACAAUUUGGCAAGGCGUUUCGCCAUGAAACACGAAAUCUAUCACAAGCCCGCACACCUUUGUUCCACAAGGUGCCAGUUACUUGUUCCCUGUUCGUUUGUGCUGCUUCUCAGUCUGCCAAGCAAAUUGAAGAACAAGUUCAUAGCCAAGAAGCUCACCUCUACGUGGUCUUAACGGAGGCCAGAACAAGAGGUUACUGGGGUUCGCCUUCGCACUGGAGUUUCUCCAGGUAGCAGCCUUAUGGUCAGCUGCGACACGGGGUAAGAGGUCCUCAGCGGCACUACACUCCGUUCCAAAGAACGCCAGGAGCCGGGGCCAGCACGGGCCCUAGCCACAGUAGAGUCAGACAUGGUGAUGUCAGAGGUAGUGAGGGACCACUGGGACAUGGUUACUAACUUCAUAGUUACAACCCAGGGUCAGGCCUGGAGGCAACAGCUCACUUAGUUGAGGCAGAUGCAGGAGAGGAGAGCAUGGCAUGGACAGGAGCUGUUGUACUUUUGGUGACUAUCCCUACAGUGACUGGUGAUGUGUCACUCCACCACAGCUGGGAGACUGGUACCAUCAUUUGGGAGCUGGAUGUGAGUUGAGGGUUUAUGCAAGUUCAGCAAGCAACAGUGAAUGGCAUAUCUUACUUAAUCUGUAGUGUGUAAUUGUGGUGCAAUGACAAUUGGCCUUUUAACUCCUACAGGCUUUGAAAUUGAAAUAUGAAGGAAUUUUUUAAGAAAUUUUUGUUAAAUGUUUAUGCAUUAUCUUUUUUAGCUACAUAAUUUUAAAGGAAAUGUCAGCCUAGUUUAUAGGUAGGAAGUAUGUGUGUGAGAAGUGAUUACUGGCUGGCCUAAUAUUAAUGCAUUCAUAAAACAUAUUGUAAGGGAGAUACGCCGUGCUGGCUCUUCCUCCCUUCCUAACUAUCUUCUACAUGCUUCUAUAUGCCCAGCCAGCUUCGUUAUACCUCCCAGGCAGGCCCUUGUUAAGUUUUGGAUCUCCGCCACUAUGAGGCUUUGCUACUGGCCAUGGCUUCACCCUUUCCGAGUUUACGAUGAGAGGGUGGUUUUGAGGCCAAGACACACCAGCCCACCGCCUCCUGGUACACACCUCGUCUCUCUUCGAGCUGGUUCCUCGUCUCUCAGGAAGAGCAGCCAGCCUGGGCUCCUGCUGCUUCUCUCCAUAUCUGCACCUGCCACUGCUGUCAACUCCCUACUGCACCCCAGCUUCUGGACUUCACCUCCUGGCUUGUUGCUGAGGGUAUUUUCACUGGUACGCCUUACCCCAGUGACUCAGCACGCCGUCCUUGCACACAACAGCAGUGGUUCGGUUAUUGGUUAUGGUUUGUGUUAAUACACUCAUUCUGUUUUGUCUUAUUUUCCUUUCCCAAGGGCUAAACUAACUUAUCCUGGCUUAACAUCAUUUAUAUUUUGAGGGCGAGAGAUCGUGGCCUCCCGUUUCCCUUGCACAUAUUAUAUACUAUUUGUAUUGACUAUGAAUGUUUCAAAUGUUUCAGUGGGUACAGCAAAAGCUAGGUAUGUAGUGAAAAGUUGAAGAUUAUUAAAUUUAAGAAUUCUCAUAGACAAAGAUACUUUUUAUUUAUCCUGGGCUUUUCAGAUGGUUAAACUUUAGCACUCACUUAUGUCAGGAUGUGACUGUGUAGUGAAGUUAUGUGAAAUGGGUAUGCAUUAUUAUUGUGACUCAAUAUGAUUCAAAUGAAGGCUGAGGGAAUUUAGUGUCUAAAUGCAGUGAAUCAUCAUUAUUAUUGUAAUUUAAUUUGACUUGUUUGUUUUUCCCUUCUUGGGUGUGUAUGAUUUUUUGUGUGUGGAGCGUAUAAUAUAAUAUUAAUGUUAUAGUUUUGUAUCCUCAGUAUGAGAUUCAGUGCCUCAAUUCCAUAAAUUACAAGGCCAAUGGGUGGCUGAUAGUGCUGCUGUAGUCACUCAUUGGGAGUUGUCAAGAUCUGGAGGAUGAAACUUGGCAGCAAUUAAUCAAGAACUGGGUGGAGAAGAGGGACUAAAUCAGGUAAGUAGUUUAAAGUGUUGGCCUCGUGUUCCUGGUUGAUAAAUAUUCCUAACAUUAUUCUUGUAUCUCGUAUUUGUAGUAUUAUUGUAAUAUGAUUCUUUAUCAUUGUUUGCUGUAAUGUAGACAGCCAUAAAAUAGAAUGGAAAUUUGUUUGAUGUUUUAUAUUCAUAUAAUACAAAAAAGACCUUUCCUUGAGGGUAAGGAAGCUGAACAGAGGAAAAUAUAAAUGAAUUGAAAGAGCUUUGAUAUUUUAUCCCCUCUAACAAACUUUAAUCUAAGAAUCCAUCAUACCAUCACAUAACAUAAAGAAUGGUGGCAUGUAAGUAUGUUGAGUCUUUAGGAACUAUUUCUCCUUGGUUGAAUCUGGUGCAUAAAAUUAGAUUAUGGAUAAUGGCUCUCACAUGAUUACAUAUUUAUCAUACCACUCACCAAUUCUUACCUGAUAAACUCUCCACCAACCCUCUGCCGAACCUGUAAUCUUUCUCUUUCAGUUCAGCAUAUUCUUCUAUUUUGCCCCAGAUAUGCUGCUAGAACAACAACUGGUAUUCCCAACUUAUCUCCCUUACCAGACAACCCUGCCCUCAUGACAUCUUUACAGAAUCAUAAUCUUUCUCGUGAGACAAUGUCAUCUCAUAUCUACAAAGAACUAAUGUUUUUCAACACGAGGAUGCAUAUUUUGAGUCCUCGGAGCACUCAAGACAUAUCAGAGGACACACAUACUCUUCCAUAGCUGUGUUCUGCCAAGAUUUCUCCCUCCCCCCCACUGUAUGAGAUCUUUCAGAAUGUAGAUUGCUUAUAUGACUUUCAUCAUUAUAACAGACAUUUAUGAUCCAUUUAUACCAGAAAAAGUACCAUUGUGCCAUGAUGGCUAUAGUUUUACUUUAUUUAUUUUAUUUUUUAUGAAACCAAAUAGAUUAGGUUACCAUAAAAGUAAAUAUUUUCUGUUUGUCAUCUUUAGAAAAUAGCCAAGAACAGGCAAACUAUAAUUUUUUUCCUUUUAAAAUUUGCUCGGGUUUAUUUUAAAAUGUACGUACCUAAUAGGAAAAAUCACUUAUCCUCGUUACUUCCAGAGACAGAGAGAAAACAAGUCAGAGCAAGCUGCUUCUUGAGUUGGGUAUUCUCCCAACACCUCCCAGCCCAGAUAUGGUACCAGGAGUCAUUUUCUAUUGUCUGGAGUGAAGAGGUUAAAUACCUUCUCAUAUACACAACUAUCUCUACUAAUAUUUUGCCAUAGUGCCAUAUGACCUCUGAUGUCUGGUACUUUUCUUCAUUAACCUCAUAUGUUUGUUAUUGUUGCUGUGACUGUGGAAGGAGCGAGGGUAUGUAAGGUGACUGGCAAUUCCUGCCUCAUUACUUUCUAAGCUGCUGUGGAGAGAGGAUGCAUCACACUUGUUUCCAUUCCACUACAUCCUGUUUUCCUUCUUUCCUUUCCUAGCCUUCCCAUUUUUCUGCCAUAACAUUUGCAUGGCUCCAGCCAACCUUAGCAAUGAAGAAUAGAAGACUGAAAAUGUGCCUUCAAAAGAAAUUCAAGACAUACAGGAUGAUAUGAAAGCAUCAUUUGCUGCUUGGUUGUAGUUGCUCACACCCUCCCUCCAGAUGCCAUACCUCUAAGAAAACCAAUGACUGGGAGGUCAAGAAAUAUAUGAAUCAGAUCUUUCAUAAUCUCUUGCAUCAUGGCCUCCCAGAUGGUUUUCUUAAAGGCAUGGUAUCGAGAAAUGGCGCAAGCAGCUGAAACCAGCUGGUGAAUGUUGCUUUGGUGUUGCCCUGUACAUUUGGAAAUUUCUUUUGUAGGCAUAUUUUCAAUAUUCCAUGCCAAAAUUCUGGCCUUUUCUUUAUUACUGAGGUAUCAGUUGGCGGGAGAUAACUGUAGUAGGAAAAUGAGAAGGCCUGGAAAGAAGUGGGGAAACGGAAACAAAUGUGAUAAAUCCUAGAUUUUUCUCCAUAGCAGCUCACAGAGUUCAGUAUUGAGACAGGCAUUAUCAGUCACCUUUGGGUGCAAUCAACAUGGUUGAACAGUGUUCAUUGGACAAAAAGUAACCAGUUGAGUGAAAAGCAGAAAGGCCCACUGAUACCUCAGAGCUGCGGUGGCGAGUGGUGUUUGUGCUUGGUGUCUGGGUGUGGUGCUUUUGAGUGUUAGUGAAGUGAAAGUGUGUACUGCAAGUGUUAGAUUAGAGUGAAAUAGUGGUUAGAAUCAGUGUU
rnacentral:lncRNA from 1 species